UACGUAGGGGGCAAGCGUUAAUCGGAAUUACUGGGCGUAAAGCGUGCGCAGGCGGUUUUGUAAGUCAGGUGUGAAAGCCCCGGGCUUAACCUGGGAAUGGCAUUUGGGACUGCAAGGCUGGAUUUUGGCAGAGGAGACUGGAAUUCCUGGUGUAGCAGUGAAAUGCGUAGAUAUCAGGAGGAAUACCGAUGGCGAAGGCAGGUCUCUGGGCUAUAACUGACGCUCAUGCACGAAAGCGUGGGGAGCAAACAGG
rnacentral:rRNA from 1 species